GUCAACACCAAACAGUGAACCCCACCAUGCCCUUGACUUUACCUAUCAUCUAUGAACUGAGCACAUCCUCCUGUAAUGCUGGCUGCCCCAUUCCUUACCCCUCCCAGGCAGGAUGGUGUGUGGUAGUCUGUUACCUUGGUGGCUCCCCAAUGAACCAUGCCUCCUGGUGUUUCAACCCUUGUGUUAUCUUCUCUCUUGGAAUCUGGUAUGCACCUCUGAUUUGCCUUAACUACCAGAAUGUGAUGAAAUUGUACUAUGCCAGUUCCACUAUGGC